GACGAACGCUGGCGGCGUGCUUAACACAUGCAAGUCGAACGAAGAGCGAUGGAAGCUUGCUUCUAUCAAUCUUAGUGGCGAACGGGUGAGUAACGCGUAAUCAACCUGCCCUUCAGAGGGGGACAACAGUUGGAAACGACUGCUAAUACCGCAUACGAUCUGACCUCGGCAUCGAGGAUAGAUGAAAGGUGGCCUCUACAUGUAAGCUAUCACUGAAGGAGGGGAUUGCGUCUGAUUAGCUAGUUGGAGGGGUAACGGCCCACCAAGGCGAUGAUCAGUAGCCGGUCUGAGAGGAUGAACGGCCACAUUGGGACUGAGACACGGCCCAGACUCCUACGGGAGGCAGCAGUGGGGAAUCUUCCGCAAUGGACGAAAGUCUGACGGAGCAACGCCGCGUGAGUGAUGACGGCCUUCGGGUUGUAAAGCUCUGUUAAUCGGGACGAAAGGCCUUUUUGCGAAUAGUGAGAAGGAUUAACGGUACCGGAAGAGAAAGCCACGGCUAACUACGUG
rnacentral:rRNA from 1 species